CUGCUUUGAAUUAGGAUUUGACUUCGAAUUGGAUCCAAAGCUGUCGUCUACUUUUCCUGCAGCUUGUUUCAUAUAUUAUGAUUCGACUACCCAUUUUAUUGUUAGUCCAGGUAUAGUUCACUUAAUUUGCUGAUAAAGAGUUAAUUAAUGUUCUUACGAAAUGAGAUACAUUUCAACUGAACUUGUUUUGAAAAAAAGCUGAUGAUCCGGAUAUAGUGAAGAAGAAGAUAAAGAGUAUAUUGUUGGCCGAUAGAAAUGAUUGUGUGUAUUAAAGAUGAUAUGAAAAGUGCGAAAAGGGCCCCACACAGCCUGCCUCAUCACAUCACCAAGACACCAACAACCGUCUCAUACGCAAUUAAUUGGAGCUCGGUAACUGGCUGACAACUGCCGAAGAUAUUUAAAUCUGACGUGGCACCCUACCUUCUUUUACGCACAAGUGUACCGACCUCCUCUCUCUCUCUCUCUCUUCACAAAUACGAUCGCCCUUUUGGCUGUGCACUUUUAUAUGCAAAACAAACUGAGUCUAGUGCUCUCCGCCGCCAACGCUGGAUAUUUGCUGUGCUUCUUCCACUUUGACUACUCAGAUUUGCCUAGAUAUUUUGCAUCGAUUCUCGGAAGACAGCACGAUGUGGACUGAUCACAAGCACAGCUUAUUUCUCCAACAUUUGGAACUCUCAUUUGUUAAGCAACUGCACCAGUCAAUUAGUUUGCUUGAUCAAGACGAGGAAGAAAUAAACACUUCCCUAAUAGAUCAAAUAAAUUUGGCUGGUCGGCUGCAUGGAUGUUCGAAGAUAAAGUGCAAUAGGGGUUAUCCUCUUUCCCAUGUUUCAGUUGAUUCCAUUGGCCAUAGUAAGCGUCCUACUGUAUCAGCUCAUACACCAGAACCUUGGACGCUUUGUAAAGCAGAGAAUGUUGGGGAAGUUGUUAAGCCUAACUGUGAUUUGCAUGACUCCCAGAGAGAGGGUACAGGUCAGAAUUUUGUUGAUGAAGACAAUCAGUCAAACUCAGAUACUGAAUAUCGUGUGAAAAGAACGAAGAUUAUGUUAGCGGAUAAGUGAAGUAAUUCAUUCUUUCUAUAGAGAAAAAUGACAGCUCUAAUCUUGUAAGGCUAACCUUUGAGAUCAUCAUCGUCCUCCCAAAUUGAAAGAUGACAACCACGCAAGAGUGGUUGCCACUAGCCAGCUAUUCUUUUAUAUUCGUCUUGCCCAAAUUUAGGAGCCAGGUCCAGGUUUGAUUUGUUUAAAAGUUUUGCAUAAUGUGAUAUCAUAAUCUUGGCUUGCGACAUGGAUUCGUUUAUUUGACGAGAUUUGGUGUAAAAGUAAGAUUUGUUUGUAGGUAAUAUUUGUAUAUGUCCAUGGAGGAAGAGUCGAGUCAUGUACUCCCUCCGUUCCGCUACAAGUGAGGCGUUCAAAAUCGAAAGUUGUUGUUAGAGUAGAGAUAAAAGUAAAGUAAGUAAGAUAAUAAUGUAUAUACGACUCUCAUCUAUAUUAUUAUUUCUCUUACUUAA